rnacentral:rRNA from 1 species
UACGUAGGUGGCGAGCGUUGUCCGGAUUUACUGGGCGUAAAGGGAGCGUAGGCGGACUUUUAAGUGAGAUGUGAAAUACCCGGGCUCAACUUGGGUGAUGCAUUUCAAACUGGAGGUCUAGAGUGCAGGAGAGGAGAAUGGAAUUCCUAGUGUAGCGGUGAAAUGCGUAGAGAUUAGGAAGAACACCAGUGGCGAAGGCGAUUCUCUGGACUGUAACUGACGCUGAGGCUCGAAAAGCGUGGGGAGGCAAACAGGAUUAGAUACCCU